rnacentral:rRNA from 1 species
AUGCCUUACACAUGCAAGUCGGACGGCAGCGCGUUGGGGGUAACCCUGAUGGCGGCGAGUGGCGAACGGGUGAGUAAAGUAUCGGAACGUACCCUGAAGUGGGGGAUAACUCGUUGAAAGAUGAGCUAAUACCGCAUAUACCUGAGGGAGAAAGUGGGGGAUCUGAAAGGACCUCACGCUGGAGGAGCGGCCGAUAUCUGAUUAGCUAGCUGGUGGGGUAAAGGCUUACCAGGGCGAUGAUCAGUAGCUGGUCUGAGAGGACGACCAGCCACACUGGAACUGAGACACGGUCCAG